rnacentral:rRNA from 1 species
CGUAGGUGGCAAGCGUUGUCCGGAAUUAUUGGGCGUAAAGCGCGCGCAGGCGGUCCUUUAAGUCUGAUGUGAAAGCCCACGGCUCAACCGUGGAGGGUCAUUGGAAACUGGGGACUUGAGUACAGAAGAGGAAAGCGGAAUUCCACGUGUAGCGGUGAAAUGCGUAGAGAUGUGGAGGAACACCAGUGGCGAAGGCGGCUUUCUGGUCUGUAACUGACGCUGAGGCGCGAAAGCGUGGGGAGCAAACAGGAUU